rnacentral:rRNA from 14 species
GACGAGGCACUACGGUGCUGAAGUAACAAAUGCCCUGCUUCCAGGAAAAGCCUCUAAGCAUCAGGUAACAACGAAUCGUACCCCAAACCGACACAGGUGGUCAGGUAGAGAAUACCAAGGCGCUUGAGAGAACUCGGGUGAAGGAACUAGGCAAAAUGGUGCCGUAACUUCGGGAGAAGGCACGCUGAUGGUAGGUGAAGUGACUUGCUCAUGGAGCUGAAAUCAGUCGAAGAUACCAGCUGGCUGCAACUGUUUAUUAAAAACACAGCACUGUGCAAACACGAAAGUGGACGUAUACGGUGUGACGCCUGCCCGGUGCCGGAAGGUUAAUUGAUGGGGUUAUCCGUAAGGAGAAGCUCUUGAUCGAAGCCCCGGUAAACGGCGGCCGUAACUAUAACGGUCCUAAGGUAGCGAAAUUCCUUGUCGGGUAAGUUCCGACCUGCACGAAUGGCGUAAUGAUGGCCAGGCUGUCUCCACCCGAGACUCAGUGAAAUUGAACUCGCUGUGAAGAUGCAGUGUACCCGCGGCAAGACGGAAAGACCCCGUGAACCUUUACUAUAGCUUGACACUGAACAUUGAGCCUUGAUGUGUAGGAUAGGUGGGAGGCUUUGAAGCGUGGACGCCAGUCUGCGUGGAGCCAACCUUGAAAUACCACCCUUUAAUGUUUGAUGUUCUAACGUAGACCCGUGAUCCGGGUUGCGGACAGUGUCUGGUGGGUAGUUUGACUGGGGCGGUCUCCUCCCAAAGAGUAACGGAGGAGCACGAAGGUUAGCUAAUCCUGGUCGGACAUCAGGAGGUUAGUGCAAUGGCAUAAGCUAGCUUGACUGCGAGCGUGACGGCGCGAGCAGGUGCGAAAGCAGGUCAUAGUGAUCCGGUGGUUCUGAAUGGAAGGGCCAUCGCUCAACGGAUAAAAGGUACUCCGGGGAUAACAGGCUGAUACCGCCCAAGAGUUCAUAUCGACGGCGGUGUUUGGCACCUCGAUGUCGGCUCAUCACAUCCUGGGGCUGAAGUAGGUCCCAAGGGUAUGGCUGUUCGCCAUUUAAAGUGGUACGCGAGCUGGGUUUAGAACGUCGUGAGACAGUUCGGUCCCUAUCUGCCGUGGGCGCUGGAGAAUUGAGGGGGGCUGCUCCUAGUACGAGAGGACCGGAGUGGACGCAUCACUGGUGUUCGGGUUGUCAUGCCAAUGGCAUUGCCCGGUAGCUAAAUGCGGAAAAGAUAAGUGCUGAAAGCAUCUAAGCACGAAACUUGCCCCGAGAUGAGUUCUCCCUGACCCUUUAAGGGUCCUGAAGGAACGUUGAAGACGACGACGUUGAUAGGUCGGGUGUGUAAGCGUAGCGAUACGUUGAGCUAACCGAUACUAAUGAACCGUGAGGCUUAACCUUACAACGCCGAAGCUGUU